CUUCCGGUCGUUACGAGCGAGCCCCGCCCCGCACGCCGGCGCCGGGCGGGCACACUGGACCAGCGUUCCCAGAACACUCCGCGAAGGUGUUCCUGAACUUCAUUUCCCAGAGGCUUUAGCUAACGUGUACUUUCGCCCUGCGAUGGGCCGCACAUUUUCGCCGCCAGUCUUUUGCUCCUGUUUCAGGCAAAACUUGGAAGCAGCCAGAUGUCCUUCAGUACAUGAAUGAAUACAUAAACUAUGGUACAUUCAGACAAUGGAACAUUCAGUAAGGAAAAGAAAUGAGCUAUCAAGCUACCAAAAAGGAAGAACAGAAGAAUAUUAAGUGCGUAUUGGUGAGUGAAAGAAGUCAAUCUGGAAAAGGCUAUAUACUGUAUAAUUCCAUCUACAUAACAUUCCUGAAAAGGCUAAUCUAUGGAAACAGCAAAGAUUGGUGGUUGCCAGGGGCUUAGGGGGAGGGAAAAAGGGAAGAAUAAGUGACAUUCAGUGGAUUUUAAGAGGGAAGAAUAAGUGACGUUCAGUGGAUUUUAAGAGGGAAGAAUAAGUGACGUUCAGUGGAUUUUUAAGGCAGUGAAACUAUUCUGUAUGAUAUUGUAAUGGCGAAUACAUGUUGUUAUACAUUUGUUAAAACCCAUAGAAUAUACAGCACAAAGAGUGAACCGUAAUAUAAACUAUGGUCUUUAGUUAAUAAUAAUUUAUCAACAUUGGCUCAUCAAUUUUAACAGAUGUACCACACUAGUGCAAGAUGUUAAUAAUAGAGAAACUGGGGGAGGAGGGGAGAAGGAAGGAGUAUACUGAAACUCUACUUUCUGCUCAAUUUUUCUAUAAACCUAAAACUGUUCCCAAAAUGUUCUAUUAAAUUUAAAAUAUAAGAAUGUUAAAUAUGCUUAUGGUAAGGUCUCAGAAGGAAAUUAAUGACAUGCAAUUAGAAACUGAAGGAAUGGUUAUCUUGUUAUAAAGUGGGAGAGCCUUGGCUGAAUUGUAUUCUAUAUUUGGGUGGAAAACAGAAUUUGUACAUGAUGAACUUGAAUAUUUAGUUAAGAAGACUUCCAAGUAAAAUGUGGAAUGUGCAA